rnacentral:rRNA from 1 species
GAUGAACGCUGGCGGCAGGCCUAACACAUGCAAGUCGAGCGGAGCGGCGGACGGGUGAGUAAUGCAUAGGAAUCUGCCCGGUAGUGGGGGAUAACGUCCGGGAACGGGAGCUAAUAACGUAUACUAUCAGAUGAGCCUCGGUCGGAUGAGCUAGUUGGUGGGGUAAAUGCCUACUAAGGCGACGAUCCGUAACUGGUCUGAGAGGAUGAUCAGUCACACUGGAACUGAGACACGGUCCAGAGUCCUACGGGAGGCAGCAGUAGGGAAUAUGGGACAAUGGGCGAAAGCCUGAUGCAGCCAUGCCGCGUGUGUGAUGAAGGUCUUCGGAGUGUAAAACACUGUAAGUUGGGAGGCGUUACCAACAGAAUAAGCAACGGCUAACUACGUGCCAGCAGCCGCGGUAAUAC